rnacentral:rRNA from 1 species
UAGCUUGCUGUGUAAGUCCAUUGGGGAAUCGACCAGCUCAACUGGUCGGCGUCCGGUGGAAACUGCACAGCUUGGGGCCGAGAGACUCAACGGGUACGUCCGGGGUAGGAGUGAAAUCCUGUAAUCCUGGACGGACCACCAAUGGGGAAACCACGUUGAGAGACCGGACCCGACAGUGAGGGACGAAAGCCGGGGUCUCGAACCGGAUUAGAUACCCGGGUAGUCCUGGCCGUAAACAAUGCUCGCUAGGUAUGUCACGCGCCAUGAGCACGUGAUGUGCCGUAGUGAAGACGAUAAGCGAGCCGCCUGGGAAGUACGUCCGCAAGGAUGAAACUUAAAGGAAUUGGCGGGGGAGCACCACAACCGGAGGAGCCUGCGGUUUAAUUGGACUCAACGCCGGACAUCUCACCGGUCCCGACAGUAGUAAUGACAGUCAGGUUGACGACUUUACUCGACGCUACUGAGAGGAGGUGCAUGGCCGCCGUCAGCUCGUACCGUGAGGCGUCCUGUUAAGUCAGGCAACGAGCGAGACCCGCACUUCUAGUUGCCAGCAACACCCUUGUGGUGGUUGGGUACACUAGGAGGACUGCCAUUGCUAAAAUGGAGGAAGGAACGGGCAACGGUAGGUCAGUAUGC